UUAGGGAGUCCUUUGAUUUAUUACUUUGAGUAGAGAUUUGAAAGCAUCAUCGGGCGAGCUGUUGAUCUCCGCGCAUUUCUCCGACUCCAUUUUUAGUUGGAAACCGGACCAGCAAGUGGUAAGUCAAGACUAUCACCCUGAGGGCGUUUAGUCCGGAUCUUUCAAGUAUGGCGUUGUAGGCCGAAGGUACUUGGACGAUCGUGAAUGUCAUGUGGACGGUGCUUUGUCAUGGUUCGGCCCCAGCUGUCACGGAAAGAGUAAUUUUUUCUUCCACCGCGAUGGCUUUUCCGACGAAACCCACUAAG
rnacentral:lncRNA from 1 species